UAGCUCAGUGGUAGAGCCCUUGCCUAGCAAGUAUGAAGACCUGGGUUCCAUCCCCAG
rnacentral:tRNA from 1 species